rnacentral:lncRNA from 1 species
GGUACAGACUUCAAUGCAUCACCCACACAUGGAGAAGGUAUGGUCAACAUUGUCUCCCCUGGAAGUAAACAGGCUUGGAUCUAGCUGACCAUUCCUGUAGUACGAUAUAGUGGUUGGUUAGUGAUACAGGAACUUGGACCUCUGCCACCAGGAGUUAGAGUUGGAACCAGAGCAUACAUAAGACUUAGAGCAGUAUCCAUCAUUACAAGCCACAGUCCAAUCUAAGACAUAAUUGCCAACGUUAUGAAUAUGUGGUGCUAAAUAAACUGUUGGGAGGUCAUAGUCUCAUAGCUAAACCGAUAACCUAAGAGAGGCACUCUGUCCCUUCUUCCUGCGGCUGGCAAUGAUUGGUCAGUCUUGUUGUUUGGUUUGUUUCCUAACAGCUGUUUAGGCCUGGAGAAUCCCUUACAGUCAGGGAUGGAUAGUAUUGAGCUGUCUGCAGAUAUCUUGUACACCAGGCAAAUCUCGUCAACGUUCAUCCAUGUCAUGAGAAGAGGAUACAGCUGGUUGGAGCAUAUGUAUCAGGUAGUUACACAGGAUACAGAAGAUCCCUGUAAUAAGCUACUAUACCAUAAAUGUAGAGAGUGAUGUUUCUAACUCCUGAUCAUAUAAAAAUGAUACAUCUAGAGAGGCAGGAACACAGAUUUGUAUGACCCUAACUGGAGUGCACAGUCAGACAAAAUGGCUCCUGAUGCUGAUGUCCAGCUUUCCCAGGAACAGAAAAAGAUGGAUUAUUAUGCAUACUCCGGUUACAGAUUUGCAGUAGCUGUCAGCAGUCAAGAAGAACCAAUGGCCAUUCUGAAUAAAAGACCCACAUGAUCAGACAACUUGGCAAGAUGACAAAUCCAUGCAAAGUGUGCUGACAUUCUGCCAAAGAUUGGAGAUAUCUCCGGCAGACUUUAGACUCCUUGUUUUAGAUUUAAGAUUAAAAGAUAAUUGUGACUUAAGACUACAUGUAUGUAGUUUUCAGUCAAACACUUUUUCUGUUUUUCUUUUUUGUAUUUUUUCAACAAUUCAAGGUCUGGAAAAUGAUAAUAUUCAGGGCUUAAGCUAGGCUAAGAUUUUAGGGAGAAGUGGAGAGAUUUUAGGGAGAAGUGGCGAGAUUUUAGGGAAAAUGGGAAUGAUUUUAGCACCAUGACAUGCAAGUUGAAAAAGUAACUACAUUUGUAUGCUUAAUAUAAGUUACUAUUUUUAUUAUUUCCUGUCUUUGUUUAUUAAUUUAAAGUAAAUAACAAAUUCACUGAAAAUGUCAGUGAUUCUGUUUUCUUAUCAUUUUAAACCUUGUGAAUCUAAUGUG